AUCUCAUGAUGUGAACACUUCCUCAACAUAUUUUUAAACCUAUUCCAUGCUUCAUCAAAGUUCUCUGAAUCACCUUGAUGAAAAAUAGAUAUGUCAUGCUUCAGUUU
rnacentral:snoRNA from 1 species